GUGCUCGCCUUGGCAGCACAUGUACUAAUAUUGGAACGAUACAAAGAUUAGCAUGGCUCCUGCACAAGGAUGACAUGCAAAUUUGUGAAGCGUUCCAUAUUUUU
ensembl:snRNA U6 U6 spliceosomal RNA